AAAGUCGUAACAAGGUUUCCGUAGGUGAACCUGCGGAAGGAUCAUUAACGAAUCGUAUGGACUUGGCUGUCGCUGGCUCUUUUUUGAGAGCAUGUGCACGCUUAGUUCAAACCUUUCACUUCAACCCCCUGUGCACUCUUGUGGAUCGCGGAUUUGGAUAUUUAUCAAAGUAGCAUUUGGUUGUGGGGUUUGCACCUAACACGUGCUGUCCCCUUCAUCUGUCCGCGGUUCAUGUCUUUUUUUACAAACUAUUUAAUAAAACCUAGAAUGAUUAACGAGUUGGGACUUUAUUGGACCGCUCUUAAACUUUAUACAACUUUCAACAACGGAUCUCUUGGCUCUC
rnacentral:misc_RNA from 1 species